GCUAUAAUUCGGAGUUUAGUGAAAAAACUGUAAAAUUAUAGCAAUAUAAACAUAGAAACACAGAAUGUGACGGCUGAGAAGAACCAUUCAGCCCAUCUGGUCUGCCCAAUUUUCUAAAGGAAGGUACAUAUAUGAAUAGAUAUAUACAUUUUUAUAGCGUACAGUUUUCUUUUUAAUACAUGUAUUAAAGAUGAUAUUAGAAAAAGCUUAGUAUGUCACUGGGGUUGACAUAGAAGCUUAUUUGUAUGCAGGGUAUAACAUUCUCUGUAGAACAGAUUUAUGCAACGUCAUAUACAAACAGCAGUGUUCUAUGUGCUAUGCAUUGUGUACCCUGAGAUAUCCAUCUCAGAAACAUUAAUGAUCCCCCUUUAUGGUAAAAUAAAUUUUGUGCUACAACAUUUGUCAUAAGUGGUUUUUAAAUGUUUUAGUCCUGGGGUUCCAACAUUAGAGGGCAUAGUGGAC